GCCAGGCGCAGUGGUGCACGCCUGUAAUCCCAACGGCUCAGGAGGCUGAGACAGGAGGAUUGUGAGUUCAAAGCCAGCUUCAGUAGACAACAAGGCGCUAAAAAACUCGUUGUAGACCCUGUCUCUA
rnacentral:sRNA from 1 species